rnacentral:lncRNA from 1 species
AGCACAAAGUUAAUUGAUUAACACAAAUUCAUAAUCCAUUCAAAAUCACAAACAAACUACAUAGUUCAAACACAAGGAAUUUGGUUCAUCCUAGAGAUUCAAUCCCAAAGGAUUUAGACACAUGAUUACAAUUGAAGAUACAAAAUAGAAGGCGAUUGAAUACAUGAUGAUGAAUUGAUGGAAGCUUGGAUCAAUCUUGCAUCCAAGAAUCAAGAUCUUCAGCUCUAAGCCUCAAUGGUGAUGAAUAUGACACUUUUUGCAUCAAAUAAUCAAAC